UGUUUAUCGAUAGAGGAUAUACACGUAAUACUGGCACACGUUUACAUUUACACUGAAUUGGGAAUUAUAAAACAACACACUUUCGGAGAAGUGGUUCUAGGUGCUGAAGAAUGAAGAAAAAUGUGCCAGAGGAAAAACGGAAAGAAAAUUUUAUCCAAAGACUUUAUGUUGCAAAUUGAGAGGGGAUCAUCAAUAUUUGCUUUUUACAACAGAACACCCUGGCUCGUCCUGGGUGUUUUCUUUGAUGAGUUGAUGAAGAGUUUUAAGCAGAGAGAACAGGGUGCUUAUGAAGUGCAUUAAACAAGAUGAUAAUUGAAGAAAUUUGUGAAUAGUUGAUUACUAGUUUUCAACUGUCAUGCAGAGAUGAUGUUGGACUAAGCCUUGUUGGACUGCCUUCUAGUUUUAGCUGGAAAUGCAUUUCCAAAAUCGCCAACUGGUCAGAACUGUACUGGAUUUAAACAUGAAAAUGCAGCAAUUGAAAAAGGAGUAUGAACUGGAAAUUGCAUCAAAAUCUCAAAGCUCAGAAGAUAAUUCUCUGAAUCGGGAAUAAGGAAAUGCACGCUUGAAGAUCAGAACCCUAAAAAUAACAUAGACAUCUCUGAAACAGUUCUGACAGUAACAUCAUGCAUGCCUUGCAUAAGAUUUUAGGGGCAAUUUGUAGGCCCAAACUUAGAUGCCAUGGGGAAGUGACAGAAAAUGUCUAAGAGGGAAGAGAUAGAAAAUGAUAUAUGACCAAGUUUUGGCCGAGAAGUGAAAAAAAUAUGUACUGAAGAAUGCUUUAAUGCCAAUUUCUAGUAUGCUAUUUUGUGCCACCUUAACUUUCUGGCAUUGCCUGAACUUUCGGAAUCUGUGCAUGUUUUUAUUUUACUUGAUUAUUCUUGGCUUGUCUGUCCAGUUAGUUAUUCUGUAGCUACCCCCCGCCCCCCACCACUAAGUAUCCCACUAUCCAUCUCCCCACGGAUAUAGUCAUGCAGAUCAAGCCAGGUUGAUCAGCUUGUCUCAGGAGUUUUUGAACUAGAACUAAGGGAGUAGAUGAGUAUUUCCUGAUGGUAGAAACUGUGCAAUAGCGGGGUUUGGAAGCUGCUGGUGGCCACCACGUGAGAAAGUGUGAGCUCUAAUGAAGGAGGUUGAAACUGUACCGCUGGGAGGACAGAAAAAGACGGAAAGAACUGAACUUCCUUGUCCCUGGGGUCGAGCUGUCUAAAACCCCAGCCCUUGCUGUCAUCUAGAUAUCUGAAAAUACUCUAAUAGCCUCCUAAUAAAGUC
rnacentral:lncRNA from 1 species